rnacentral:tRNA from 1 species
GCCUUCGUGGUGUAGUGGUCAACAAGCUCGGCACGUAUUCGAGAGGUCCCUGGUUCGAGUCCUGGCGAGGGCA